GCCACAGCUUCAUGCCAGCUCGGCACAGCCUCUUGUCUCCGGGCCUCCAAAAUGGAGCCCCUGCGUGUGACGUGCCCAAGGUGCCCAGCCCUGGGUGCUGCAGGAGGUCGGGGAUCCGAAACACCCCUAAAUUGGCUGUACCCAGCUCCUCUCUCCCAGAACUUGGCCCCCAAACCACCUCACAGCCUAAGAUUGAGCCGGCUGAAGCUGGUGCCAAGGAGGGCCGAGGCCCCUGGAGAUGGAGGCUGGGAGGGGAGCACAGCGGCCCCUGGGACAGCGCAGGAGGAGGCCUCAGCACCCGGCGUGUCCCGGGUACAGCAGAGACAUGGAAAUGUGCUUCUGACAUCUCUCCUUGCCGAUUCCAGAGAAACAGCCUGAACUGCCACCCUUCCCGGGCACCUUGGACAUCAUUUAUCAAGAAAAAGUGCAGCCCUGGAACAGGAAGGCCCAGCAGAAGAAGGAGCCUUCGUUGAGGCUGCCGGUGAUGCCCAAGCUGCCUCCUGCCAUAACGGAGCAUUUGCGCAACCAGCUGCAGAAAGGAACUGCGCCCAAAACAGAGCCCAGGAGCAAAUCCAAACAAGAGCCCAAAACAGCACCCAAAGAGCAGGUGCAAGACCAAGGCCGGGCAAAGGCUGAAAAAUCUGGAAAACAUCAGAAGAGCAAGGGCCAAAAAGCAGCAAAAGCCCCUCCUGAAGUCAGGACAGUACCCAUCCUGGAAGCCCUGCCUGUGACGGAGCGAGUGAAGCGCCCCAAAUCUCAGAAAGCCCCAGGCCUGCUAGAAACACCCAUCGUGUCCAUACUGUCCCUGUCGAGCUCGGAGGGCAGCAUGAUUCAGGAGCCCAGCGACAACAGCGGCAGAUUCCAGCGAGGGAGCUCCAGCUCCCAAAGACUGCCAAAGUUACGGGCUGGGAGGUUCUGGUCCGUGCUUCCAGACCGCCCAAAGAUGGAGGCAUCCAAUUGCAAGCCCUCUACUUCUGGCACACAGAAGGACCAGGGGGCCAGCUCUGCGCAAUUUCAAAAACCAAAGCUCCUACCCAGGCCCUCUACGCCGUUGCCUGUAGGUAAGAAAGCCAGC
rnacentral:lncRNA from 1 species